CCUACGGGAGGCAGCAGUGAGGAAUAUUGGUCAAUGGGCGAAAGCCUGACGCAGCGACGCCGCGUGAGGGAUGAAGGUCUUCGGAUCGUAAACCUCUGUCAGCAGGGAAGAACGGUCACUGUGCUAAUCAGCAGUGAAUUGACGGUACCUGCAAAGGAAGCACCGGCUAACUCCGUGCCAGCAGCCGCGGUAAUACGGAGGGUGCGCGCGUUAAUCGGAAUUACUGGGCGUAAAGCGCUCGUAGGCGGUAUGUCAAGUCAAGGGUGAAAUCCCCGCGCUCAACGGGGGAACUGCCUUUGAAACUGGCAAACAGGAGUGUGUGAGAGGAUAGUGGAAUGCCAGGUGUAGGAGGGAAAGCCGUAGAUAUCUGGAGGAACAUCAGUGGCGAAGGCGACUAUCUGGCACAUAACUGACGCUGAGGAGCGAAAGCGUGGGUAGCAAACAGGAUUAGAUACCCUAGUAGUC
rnacentral:rRNA from 1 species